CCAUGGAAGUAUACCACUUCGAACAAUCAUAUCCGUUGUUAUUAUUUUAGUGAAUUUUGUAGUGAUAUUUAACUAGAAUAUUUUGUUAUUUCAGAUUAUUUGUUAUAAUUUCACUUAUUAGAACUUUAUGAUACCCUCCAUCACUUUUUAUUACAGUUAUAAACCUAUGACUGCAACCAUUGUGUUUAUUUAUAUUUACAGGAGUGGAGAACAUUUUCAAUUAUUAAUUUCAUACCUGAUAUUGAAAAUGUAACAGAAAAAAAGAAUCGGUUUUAUGUAAGUAUCCUUUGUAUACUGUAGAAUUUCACACGAGGACAGAUUGGACAGAUAGUAAGAAAUAAAAAUGAUGUAACUUUAAAUCAUUGUUUUAACGUAAAAGUAAGUAACCACUUAUUCAUGAAAAAGUUAAAAUUAUUUUAUACAUAGUUAUUAUCUGGCAUUGAUUAAUAUUUUUUAUAGUAUACAAACUUUUGCUUUUACUUUUUAAUACUUUCAAACAUUAUACAAAUACCUAAUAUAACUUCAAUAUUUCGUUAGUAAUGCAAGCGCCUUUGUCGAGUAUGAUGAUGCCAAUGUUCACAUUUAACCAUUUUAUUUAGAGGGUAACACAUAGAACAAACUAUAUUUAGAAAAUCUAAUAAAAAGCGAAAAACUGUAAACAGUUACUUAAAUAUGUUUAACAUUAAAACCACUGUAAGCUACCAUUUUUAAGGAGUUGUAGUUAGGCAAAUUUUUGAAAUUUAAUUUAAAAAGUAUAGAAAUGUUUGAAUGAAUUAACAAGUUUACUUUGCACAUUUCAAUUUCAAAAAAUUUCAAAAUUUCAAACUUUUCAAUUUUAGCAUGUCCUUGAUGAAAAUAAAAAUUUAACAUUUUAUGAAUUUGUCAAUUUUUAAUAUUAAAUAUAAUACAGAUAUUAGAAAUAUUAAAUAAUAUUUAGGUACUUCGACCUAUGCAAAUUAAUAAAAUUGUAUACCAAUUCAAAUAUCAUUAUUAUAUUUAAAAUUUUUUAAAACUGUUUAGCUUUUAUCAGUUGCUUUCGUUGUUUUCAUCAAAACUUAAUAAGGUUCACAUGAUUUAUAGGAUUUGCUUUUUAUUAACCAAUUGCAGAUAAUUGGUAACCAAUUAUCAAGUAUUUACAGUGAUUGGUUUUGAAGUUACAAAAAUAAAAAAAAAUAAUUUUGUUGAAAAUUGGUUUUACGUGAAAAUUCCGGUUUUCCCGUUACUUUUUUUGUGGUUUUUCCCGAUUUUUUCGAAAACUACUGAAAAAUUCUUACUUUUAACCUCUAUAAUUUAUCAAGAACAUUAAAUUUUUCAUCGGAAACCAUCCCUAAAGCACUAUUUCGACAAGUUAUCGUGUCCACAAAAAAAGUCUUAGAUAGGACAAUUAUUUAUUGCUUGUAGAAAAAAAAAUCAAAAUUUCGUUAUUUGAACACACAAUUUUAGUUUUUUUAAAAAUAUUUCAAGAUUGAGUAUUAUAUAAUAAAAUUCGUGUUUAAUAAUACAAAGAUAAAUAUUUUAAGUUGUACCAAAUUAUUCGUUAUCGGAAUCUUCUACCAAAUGACAUCGUCAUUUGAUGCAGGAUCAGAGCUUGGUUGAGAAACUAAUACUUCUUUUUUCUCGUGUUCAAUAUUUUUUUUUCUAAAAAUAAAAUAUAUUUAUUAUUUUAUAAAUAUCACAUAAAUUCUAUUUUAUACUAACUUUAAUAGGAAAAUAAGACAUUCUUUUACUAUUAACUAUUACAGUUUACACGACUCAACAUUUUUUAUAUGUUUUGUUUUACUGUUUUUAUUAAAUUCAGUCAAUAACAAACGCUAAUGUCUAAUAGCUUAAAGUAACUCUAUCAACCUAAACAAAUAAAUAAAAAUUAAAAAUGGUAAAUGAAAUAUACUUCAAUAAUAAAAAAAAGUAAUCUAAUUGUGUACCCAUUUUAAUUUAUCUCCAUCUUCAAUUUUUACAUACUUGCUUCCAAUUCCAUGUUUCUUAACAUGCCAUGCCAUUUUCUUAAGAGAAUCGGAUAUUUCAAAAUAUUUCAAGCAUUUCCAUCUACAAAUAUUACAAAAUUAUACUUCAAAUUUUUUGCUAAAAAUAAAAAGAAUUGCUUACGUUUUAUAAUUGACUUCUUUGUAUAAGUGUUCACGAAAAAGUUCUAUAUUAAUAGUUUUAAAAUCAUCGCAUUUAGGACAUACAAAGGGUAGACCAUUUAAAGAUAUUGCUCCUAGUUUAUCAUUCUUAUUAAAAAAUCUAUUAACGUUUUCUGUUUAUGAGGUUGAAUUGAAGAGCUUUUAGUCGCUAAUUUUGGACUCUUAUUGAUGUACCACGAGAUUUAUUAUUCAUUUUCAAUGGUGUUGAUUCAAUAAGAAUUACUCGACAAGUAGGAGACACGAGUGUAGCGUCAAUACUUUCUAAAGCUUGCGGUUCUAGAAGUUAUCUGCACCUUUUUAAGGUAGAAUGAAAAACUGAUGUAUGUUUCUUUAACCUUUCCUCUGUCAAACCUGUAUAAGUUCAAAGAAGUAUUGAGCAUUUAUAUCGCAUAUUUUUUGGUAUGCACUGUGGAAAUAUCUCGGUAAUAAAAUUGUCAUCUGGGCCUACUAUACAACGAUUUUCUUAUUAAGUUUAUCUCUUUUUAUCUGUGCAAUAAUAUAGGUGACUAAGUUCUGGAGUAGAGUGUCCAAAAUGUAAAAUAUAUAACCUAUAGACAUUGGAAGUUUAAUUCAGUUAAUCGUAUUAGUACAUAUACCAACUAGUACAAAAUCUCUGAAACAAACAAAAAAGGCUAUACCAAUAAAGGGUGGAAGAAAAAUAUUUUGACUUGGAAUAAACAAUAAAUCAAAUUAUCAAUGGCACUUGAAUUUAAUUAUUAUAUUUUAUUAAAAUUUUUAUUUUUCGUUUAAUAUUGUAAUAUACUCAUUAUAUUAUAUGACUCAUCAUAGAUAGAUUAAUUUAUGCAACUUACUAGGAAAAAGACAUUAUAUAAA